CUAUUGAUUUCAAAUACUUUUGGAUCACUAUCUUAUGAUAAAAAUUCAGCUUUUUAUUAGGCAUUCAUAUUCUGUGUUUAUUUUCUGCAUUUCUGGGUAUUUAGAUGAUGCACUGGUGAAAUAAUUUCAAACUCCAGGUUAUUGAUUUGACACUGAUUGGUUUCAGACACUCCAGUCAGGGCCCAGAUGCUCAAGAAAUCAACAGGAGUUGUGAUGAUCCUUACAUGACCUGCUUAGCUUAUGAACAGAGGCCAUCUGCCAAGGAGCAGACUUUGCACAGAAAUCACGAUCAAGCGAUACAUCGAACGGUCUGAAGGGAGUUCAGAGCUACAGAAUUCUUGUUUAUAGAUCUGCAGGUCUGGAGGGGAUGUUCAAAGAGCUAUGGAGUAUCAUCUGUCUGGACUAUCAUCUUUCCCCACUCUGCUCUCAGAAUUGCCACCAGCUGGUAAAUACUGUUGAACAGGGAGACAGUGACUGGCAUUAAGUUGAGGUU